GAGAGCGGGGUAUUGUGAGACAUUGGGUAAUGUGAGACACCCCUUAUAUCUAGGCAAUGGAACAAAAUUAUGGUCAUGUGACCAUUAUAUUUACAAGCCCCUCCCAUUCUCCCCUUGCCAGGAAGGUGAAGUUGGUGCUGUUGCUGUGGUAAGUAUGUUUUUUUCAUAAAAAUGUGUUUUUUGCACGUGAAAGUAAAUUUUCUAGCUAUAAACGUAAUUAACUAUUGUGUCAAAGCAAAUUAAUUCAGGUAGAAAAAUUUAUAUCAUGCAUGUUGAUGAACUUCCAACAUAUACAACCAUGUGAUUGAUGCUAGUUCAAGAUUAGCCUGACUUGCUAGAGAUGUUGUUUUUUAUAAAAUGGUGGCUGUGGGGUUAAAUGAGACAAAUGCCGUGGGGUAAUGUGAUACACUGUCUUACGUUACCCCAUCAUGAAGUACAAUUUAAGUUUAGUCUUAAACAUAUUCUGUGUAAUAUUACAUUACAUCUGUUUAAUUUUUAUGUCAUAACCAUUGUAGAAAAGCCAUCAUGCCAAGAAAGUACACCAGGAAAACAACCUGGGGACAAACACCCCUCGCAGAAUUGGAGAAUGCAGCUGCUGAGGUCAGGCAAGGAAAGAAGUCUUUAAGAAAAGCUGGAAGGGACAGAAAUAUUGACAAGACAACCCUACAAAGAUUCAUAAAGAAAAAAGAGAAAGGGCAAGUAAAAUCAGUAGCCUGGAGUGCAGUAGCUGAGGCAAAGAGAAUAUUCACAGAUGAGAUGGAGGAGGAGCUUGCUAAACACUUGAAACAACUAGCUGACCAGUUCCACGGCCUUCCUCCAGUUAAGUGCCGUGAACUGGCAUUUGAAUACGCAAAGAGAAACAAUAUCCCUGUUCCAGCCAAUUGGACAGAGAAACAAUGUGCAGGAAUAGAGUGGUUUCGGAGGUUUCUUGCAUGUUGCCAUCUGUCUGUCCAAACUCCAGAGGCAACAUCCCUGGGAAGGGCUACAGCCUUCAAUAAAACUACAGUAGGGGAGUUCUUCAACAAUCUGGCUGUAGUGAUGGACAGGUGACACUUUUUUAGUUGCAAAUGUUUUAAGUUAGCUUUACCCGUAAGAUUUGUUUUGAAUUCUGAUAAGGUUUUUUUUUUUGCCUCUCCUCUUUCAUAGGCACACAUUCCCUCCACACAUGAUUUACAAUGUAGAUUAAACCGGCGUCUUUACAGUUCAAAAGCCACGACAGGUAAGCUACACAUGAUACACAAGAGAGCACCAUACUGAUAUUGAGUGGAUUGUGAUAAUAACAGUGAACCUGUGAGCUGGAAAAAUGAAUGGAAUGAAAUUAAAUACAAUGUACUUUUAGACCAAUAGUAACCUACUGAUUGUACAUUUGUCCCUGAUUCUAGACUUUCUAUCUUGAUUCAGGUUGUGACAGAGAAAGGAAAAGAGCAAGUUGGUUCUAUCACAUCAUCUGAGAGGGGAGAACUAGUGACUGUGGUGUGUGCAGUGAAUGCUGCUGGGAAUGCCAUACCUCCUAUGUUUGUCUUCCCCAGAGUUAGGUUUAAGGAUGACUUCCUGAUAGGAGCACCUCCAGGAGCCAAAGGUGCCUCCACCAGAACAGGAUGGAUGAAUGAAGACAAGUUCCGAUUAUGGGUCCAUGUUCUGAGACCCAGACUGUGCAUUAGCUGGUUCUGCUUGUACUUUGCUCUUGACACCCAGAUACUAGCUAAAGGUCCUGUGUUAUGAUUCUCACACUGUGAAUGUUAAUUAAAACAUUUUGAAGUAUA